rnacentral:rRNA from 1 species
UACGUAGGGGGCAAGGCGUUGUCCGGAAUCAUUGGGCGUAAAGCGCGUGUAGGCGGUUCGGUAAGUCUGCUGUGAAAGUCCAGGGCUCAACCCUGGGAUGCCGGUGGAUACUGUCGGACUAGAGUACGGAAGAGGCGAGUGGAAUUCCCGGUGUAGCGGUGAAAUGCGCAGAUAUCGGGAGGAACACCUAUGGCGAAGGCAGCUCGCUGGGACGUUACUGACGCUGGAGACGCGAAAGCGUGGGGAGCAAACAGG